rnacentral:lncRNA from 1 species
UGACUUGGUCCCUGUCCUCAAAGGAAUCUAAAAACAGUCGUAAAAGACACCUAUGUAAACAAUUAAAAUGAACAGGAUGAAUGCUAUAACAAAGACAUUAUUGAAAUUUUGUAGGAGUAUUGAAAAAGAACAGGUAACAAGAGGGCUCAAGAAAGCUUCACAAAGGGGGAACAAGCUGGUCUUAAAAGGUAAAGAGAAGUUUGUCAGGAGUAGAAGGGAUGGAAAAGCAUUUCAAAUAAAAGGAGCAGCUUGUACAAAGCAGAAAAGUGUGUGCCAAGGAAUGAUAUGAACUCAUGAACUUCAGUGUGAGUGGACUAUAGGGAACAGUGUUAUAAAAUGAAGCUGGAGAAGAAGGUUGGCCUGAGAUUGCAAGGGGACCAAAAAUUCUGUUAAGAAGCUAAGCAUUUUGACCAGCAGCAGACAGCCCCAAACAUUUUCAAGCAGGGACAUCACAUGAGAACCAGUUUUUGGACAGUAACAAUGAUUUGAAACAAACGCAGAUAGUACUCAGUGAAUCUCAUCUGUAAGUCCUCUACAUACCCUGAGCGGGUCAAAUGGAAUGUCCUUUAUGAUCCUGGCUGAAUAUUUAUCCUCACACUCAAGUAUGGAUCAUUCCAUUUAUCUAAGUCUAUGCUUUUAAUGAAACACUAAAUACUUCAUUUUUAAUUAAGCAAG